rnacentral:rRNA from 1 species
GAUGAACGCUGGCGGCGUGCCUAAUACAUGCAAGUCGAGCGAAUGGAUUAAGAGCUUGCUCUUAUGAAGUUAGCGGCGGACGGGUGAGUAACACGUGGGUAACCUGCCCAUAAGACUGGGAUAACUCCGGGAAACCGGGGCUAAUACCGGAUAACAUUUUGAACCGCAUGGUUCGAAUUUGAAAGGCGGCUUCGGCUGUCACUUAUGGAUGGACCCGCGUCGCAUUAGCUAGUUGGUGAGGUAACGGCUCACCAAGGCAACGAUGCCUAGCCGACCUGAGAGGGUGAACGGCCACACUGGGACUGAGACACGGCCCAGACUCCUACGGGAGGCAGCAGUAGGGAAUCUUCCGCAAUGGACGAAAGUCUGACGGAGCAACGCCGCGUGAGUGAUGAAGGCUUUCGGGUCGUAAAACUCUGUUGUUGGGGAAGAACAAGUGCUAGUUGAAUAAGCUGGCACCUUGACGGUACCUAACCAGAAAGCCACGGCUAACUACGUGCCAGCAGCCGCGGUAA